GUCAGCUUCCAAGCUUUGUGCUCAUCUAAGGCAGUUAUCCUGAAAAACCUUGGAUUUAUUCAGUAGUAACCCUCUGUCGCUACUCCCUGAUCUAAUUAACCUGUCUACGACACAGUUUCUUCAUCUGUAAAGGGGGCUAAUAAAAACCCUUACUUGGUGUCUUAAUUGUGAGGCUUCAUCUAUGACAACACAAUUCAAAGUGCUUUACACAUUGCAAAGCACUACUUACAUAUUAGUUACUCGUUUUCCUAAGUGCGGCCACUUUUACGGAGGAGGAAAGUGCGCCCACCAAGAUCAAACGUCUUCCCGAGGUCUCACGGCCAUGAGGGCAGAGCUUGCUCCGUUACCUGCACCCAUCAAACCCUCCCCAAUUUUCAAAGCCUGGUUCAAGCACACGUCUUCCUCAGCCUGGCGCAGGGGGCCAAGAGCCCCAUGUCCCAGAUGAGGCGCACUGAGGCCUGCCCAGAGUCACAGGUGGCAGGCUGGGUGUCAAAGCGGUUAGCACCGCGCCAGCUCGUUGUCGGCGCCCGGAAGCGUUGGUCUCCUUUCCUUUGGAUCCUGUUGGAACGGAAGCUCUACGAGGGCAGGAACUCUGCCUGUGUCGUCGUCCCCUCCUCCCCCUUACCCGCCCCCCCGGCCCCCCUCGUUCACUGUUGUAUCCACAGUGCCCAGAGCACUGGCAGUGGGCACGCAGUAAAUUACUUGAAUGAGUAACUCUUACUCCGGCCCUUCCGUAACUCUCUCACCUCAACUCGAGUCACCCUGUCCGCUCCCCAAAGGUCUUAGAGAAUAACUGGGGGAAGGCCAGACAGAAGGGAGUGAUAGGAUAUAGAAGAGAGCACCCAGCCUGCAAAUCACUGACGCAGGGGAGUUACUCGAUCCGCUUUAAGUGCUGGGAGGCGGUAAACUCCAUGAGGACAGAGCUGUUCACCUGUUUCCUCCAAAUCCAGCACGGUGCCUGGCACAGUAGCCAUUAAAUAAAUAUUUGAUGAAUAAAAUGCUUUGCCAUGAGCAGAUUCUCUGCCUGUGAGAUUCAUG
rnacentral:lncRNA from 1 species